UUAAUCUGUUAUCUCUCUGUGGUCCAAUACAUCGCCAGUGUGAGUCGUUGGGAGAGCAAGUUAUCCUUUUUUCUUUACUUAAUUUCCUUAUCAGUUGGUUGUGCCUGGUUUGGAUGUGCAUGUGACCACCAUUUGCAGAGGAGAUAACAUGACAUAAGACAUAACUCGUUAACCCCAUUUACAAGGCAGCCUUUACCAGGAAAGCGUCGGUAAGGAUAGCCUGCCAGUUAGCAUUGUUUAGUCUGCCAGUUAGUAUUGUUUAGCCUGUCAGUUAGCAUUGUUUAGCCUGUCAGUUAGCAUUGUUUAGCUUGCCAGUUAGCAUUGUUUAGCUUGCCAGUUAGCAUUGUUUAGCCUGCCAGUUAGCAUUGUUUAGCCUGUCGGUUAGCAUUGUUUAGCCUGCCAGUUAGCAUUGUUUAGCCUGCCAGUUAGCAUUAUUUCGCCUGCCAGUUAGCAUUGCUUAGCCUGCCAGUUAACACUGUUUACGUCAGUUGUACCAUAUUCAUUGGAAAAACAUGUGUGCUAAGGUCACACUUGUGAGAACCAAAUGUUCUGUUCAGCAGCAAGCUCACAGAAGGUGCUGGCAAUCCAGAGAUAAAGUAGCUUAGCAAAUAACCCCCCCUCCUUAUAUUCACACCCCUGGGGUAAAUCACUCUUAUGUUAAAAUAUCCUAUCUUAUGUCUUCUUUUUCAAUCACAUAGAAGAACAUAUUGCAAGCUGUUUAUUUCAUGUGUUCAUCCCAUUGAGAUACAUGCAUGGAGAAGAAAGAAUAAAAAAUGACACUACUGCUGGGUUUGGUCACACUCCCAUUUAAUGAGUCCAAGCAGCUGCCAUUUUCAGCUGAAGACAUAACAGAGGAGAGCUGGGGAAACAGCACCGCGCAUCAGGGCAGCCAGUCUGACUGAUACACAGCCAGUCCGUCACAACAAAACGCUGGAGGUCGGCACAACACAGGUUUCUUCCAUAAACCGCUGUUCAACCUAAAAAUAAACACAGCCUGAGAAUAA